rnacentral:rRNA from 1 species
CAAGCGGAGGAACAUGUUGGUUAAUUCGAUGAUACGCGAGGAACCUUACCUGGGCUUAAAUGUAGAGUGCUAUUUUUUAGAGAUAGAAAUUCCCUUCGGGGCUUUCUGCAAGGUGCUGCAUGGUUGUCGUCAGCUCGUGCCGUGAGGUGUCGGGUUAAGUCCCAUAACGAGCGCAACCCUUAUCGUUAGUUGCCAGCUGGUAAAGCAGGGGACUCUAGCGAAACUGCCACCGUAAGGUGAGAGGAAGGUGGGAUGACGUCAAAUCAGCACGGCCCUUAUGUCCAGGGCUACACACGUGUUACAAUGGCCGGCACAGAGGGCAGCUACCUGGUGACAGGAUGCUAAUCUCGAAAACCGGUCUCAGUUCGGAUCGAAGUCUGCAACUCGACUUCGUGAAGCUGGAUUCGCUAGUAAUCGCGCAUCAGCCAUGGCGCGGUGAAUACGUUCCCGGGCCUU